rnacentral:tRNA from 1 species
AAGAAAUUAGUUAAUUCAUAAUAUUAAUUUGUCAUGUUAAAGUAAUCUUCUUUAGAUAUUUCUUA